rnacentral:tRNA from 1 species
GGGGGUAUAGCUCAGUGAUAAAGUGUGUACUUUGCAUGCACGAGUUUCUGGGUUCAAUCCCCAGUACCUCCC